rnacentral:tRNA from 1 species
GAGGAUGUAGCUCAGUAGCAGAGUGCGUGCUUAGCAUGCACAAGGUCCUGGGUUCAAUUCCUCAGUAUCUCCU